rnacentral:rRNA from 1 species
UACGUAGGGAGCAAGCGUUGUCCGGAUUCAUUGGGCGUAAAGAGCUCGUAGGCGGUUCAGUAAGUCGGGUGUGAAAUCUCCGUGCUCAACACGGAGCGGCCACCUGAUACUGCUGUGACUCGAGUCCGGUAGGGGAGUGUGGAAUUCCCGGUGUAGCGGUGAAAUGCGCAGAUAUCGGGAGGAACACCAGUAGCGAAGGCGGCACUCUGGGCCGUGACUGACGCUGAGACGCGAAAGCAUGGGGAGCAAACAGG